ensembl:miRNA Mir6926 microRNA 6926
UUGGGUCAGUGGGGUGAGGGAUGGUGAUGAAAGAGCCCCAGCUAAAUUCACCAUCCCUGUCUCCAUAG